rnacentral:rRNA from 1 species
GACGAACGCUGGCGGCGUGCUUAACACAUGCAAGUCGAACGGAAAGGCCCUGCUUUUGUGGGGUGCUCGAGUGGCGAACGGGUGAGUAACACGUGAGUAACCUGCCCUAGACUUUGGGAUAACUUCAGGAAACUGGGGCUAAUACCGGAUAGGAGCUCCUGCUGCAUGGUGGGGGUUGGAAAGUUUCGGCGGUUGGGGAUGGACGCGCGGCUUAUGAGCUUGUUGGUGGGGGAGUGGCAUACCAAGGCUUUGACGGGUAGCCGGCCUGAGAGGGUGACCGGCCACAUUGGGACUGCGAUACGGCCCAGACUCCUACGGUAGGCAGCAGUGGGGAAUAUUGCCCAAUGGGCGCGAGCCUGAUGCAGCGACGCCGCGUGCGGGAUGACGGCCUUCGGGUUGUGAACCGCUUUCGCCUGUGACGACGCGUGAGUGACGGUAAUGGGUGAAGAAGCACCGGCUAACUACGUG